AGAAAAGGGGUGUGGGUGUGAGUUUGGGGAGGUGGGAGCAGCAUUUAAGGGCACCCGCUCAUGCCGAAACAGUGUAGGGGAAAACUACGUGUCAUUUGGGUGUUGACAAGGUGAGACAAUGUGACCUCGUGAAAAUUGGGGCGCAUGGGAAACGGUUAGAUUUGUAGGGGGGCAUGUGAAUAUCUGCUGCAGCCACAUGCCCAAGUUAUAAUUUUUUUAUUUUUACCCCGUACGUCUAAAAAAAAAUUUAAUGGCGGACGAUGCGGAUUAACCCCUCACCUCCCUGAGAGCUUCCGCAGUUUCCAGUUAAAACUCCGGCAUGACCGGAAAGCCACCAGUUAAAAACCGCGGUUGUCGACAGACAAUAAUAUCGUUAUUUUCUAGAAAACACUGCAUUUUGCCCGUGGCGCUACAAUUAACCACAAUGCACAGUAAGAAAAGAAAAAAAAUGGAAGGGUGACUCCUCUCCCAUAAAUGUUUUUUUAAUUUUUUUUAAAAAAAAUUAUUCCUUUUUAAGUUUUGGGUUUUUUUUUAACGUUACAUUCACGUUUCUCCUUGCGUUUUGGAAGCUCACGUGAGACAUCAAUAAAAUUUUUCAGAGCAGAUUUUUUGUCUAGGUUAAAAAAAAAAAAUAGGACAUCAAAGAGAAUGUUCUUUCCAUCCCCCCCCCUCCCCUGAAGAGACAGGAAAGCUGUGCAAAUAUUCAAGUGAAAUUUUACAAUUUUGUUAAAAAUGGCGAGAAAUCUGCGGGCGAAUGUUAGAGGGAGAGAGAGAGAGAGGGUGGCAGUUGUGCAGAGGGAAGGCAUGAUGGGUCUGUGCGAGGGGCUGUGUGAUUAAAGAGAGCAGGGCUGGACCUUGCUUUCAUCAUCAGCACAAAGGCAUCUGAUUGGCUGGCACUUUGGCUCCUCCUCUUUGUGAGGCAGACUGCUCGCUUGCUCACAAGGGGGAGAUGGGAGUUGGGAAAAAGACUGCUUUUUGCUAGUUACAUUCUGCCUGCAAGGGCCUCCCCUUCAGAGUAGAACUUUUUCUACUGCAGCAAAUAGCAGAAAUUGGUUUUGGGGUUUUUUUUUGCUUUUUUUGCUUUUAUUUAAACCCCCCUUUUUUUAUAUCAUGGACUGAUGUUUUUUGGGGGGCGGUUAAUCCUUCAAAAAUUCUGCUUCUUUAUUUUUUCUCCUGAGCUGUGGGGGGAUUUGUGGUUGUGCCCACUUAUUAGAGAAAUUGAUUUUUUUUCCCUAAGCUUCUCUUCUGCCAAUGGGGUAUUCGCCAUUUGAUUCCUUUCUAUAUUUCCCAAUGUGACGCACUUGUCCGCCGCCUAUAUUUUUUCCCGCGGUUUCCAAUAAGAAUCAGAUUAAUCAUUUUAUUUCCCUUUUCUUUUUUUUUUAUAUCUCCAUUUACAAUAUUGGGGCUGAAGGGUUGUUUUUUAAACCCCCCCCACCACCAAUUGCAAUGUAUUUUUGGAAUGGGAGGGAAAUGGCGUGUGCACUGCCUGGGAUAGGUGCCAGCGUGAAAACAAAAGACAUAAAAUAGGCGGCAAACAUGGAAAAUGGCAGCGCGCACUCAUACGCACGCAAAAAAAACGCAAUCGACAAAUGACUGGUGGUGCGUCAGGCUCUGAGCUGUCGAGGUGUCAAGAAAAUGUUUUCCGAUUCCGAGGGGGCUGCAAGGUGAAGCUUCUCUCUCUCCCCCAUUCCUCCGUCUGUAGGUGCCCAAGGCUGCUUCCCACCUCCUGCAGGGUGAGAAUGGUUUCACAGAUGGGAAAGAGUGUGGUUACAGGGAACGGUUUGAUGAAUAUGAAAAUAGAUCACGUUUCCCAGCAUUCCCCUGUGAUGGGCAUCCCAUGAGCCUCAGCACAAUUACCUGGCAAUGUGUGAGUUUGUGAUCCACCUGUGAUCUUCCUUUUGUUGGUUGUCUGCAGAGUUUUACUGUAUCUCGUAAUGACAUCACAAUGGGAAUUCCCAAUAACCAUCAAGGAUAAGGACAGUUGGAACCAUCCCUUUAAGAGAUUCACAGAACUUGCCUUUAAGAGAUGUGGUGAUGCCCAACCUUAAGGAUAUCUGGGAUUUCACUGGGAAGACUUUGGCAACUCCCCUUUUAGGGUUGUGAGACAUUUUGUGCUUUAAGGAUGUGCAACUUCAUUCCCUUAUUGUCUCCUCACUAUAGUAGUGACCCCCGGAAUGUGAUCUCCUCACCACAGAGCCCCCCGUGAUGGAUGAUCCCCCCGAGUACAGGCAGAAAGGAGCGACACUUGGAGAGACACCGGCCUUCAGAUUAACCCUUCGGAUGCUACAGCCAUGGCGACAGAGGUGCCCCUGGCUGUGCUGCAAUGAAUUUACAUGGGGCAAAAUCACAGGAGGUAAGUGGCUUUGGCAGAUCAGUGAUUUCCAAUCAGAAUGGAGAAUUCUGGGUAAUGGACUGAGCGAUUCACUAGAAGGAAGGGAAUUCUGGGAGAUAAAUCCAUCUCUGGGCAGUGAUGUGGGAGCAGCUGGGGUGACAGGGUGGUGAGACCCAGAGGGUGGGUGUUGGGGUGCUGGGAGUUGGUUCCUUACAAAUAAAAUUGAUUUGCUCUUUCAGGGAUAGUGAAACCCCCAGCUCUGCCCUAUAAUUGCCCUGACAGUUUGCCCAGGUGGAUACGUUGCCCUUUGCAGGGAGAGUGAACUUGUGGUUCUCAUGUGAGUCGGAUCCAUCACUGGUGAUUGUGGUGCAAGUGAAAUUCACAUCACUCGGGGCCCUCCUCUCACUGUCAUCUGAGGGACAAACUGUCAUCUGAGGCAAAACCCACCAGACAAUUACCCUCAUUUCACUUUAACUCUUCUGACUCACUGAAUUCCUAAGGAACCAUGGGAGUUGCCGGUCAAUGCCGGAACCAUAUGACCAACCUGCUGGAACCCACCAAACUGUUACUGCCAAUGAGGGGCACACAAUUAUGGGGUACAGGGGGGCACCAGUGUAGAAUGCCCAGUGAGACCCUAAUUAAUGAGCAAUUUCAACCACUGAUUGAACUGAAACUUUCCUGAAAUUGACUUCAGCUUCUACACUAGCCGCUGGUGGGUGCAGGGAGUUGUAACCAGUGUUCUAAAAUGUCUUGACCAUCUCUUAUUCCUGAACUGAAAGGGUUAAUUAAAUUUGGCUGAGGGGCAGAGAGCUGAAUAGAGGAACAGUAACUGGCGCCUAAAUUAUGGCAGUGAGACCCCCUAGUGGCUGCUCCCUGGUACUGUCUCAUAUUGGAUUAAACCAAGCGCUGACGCUAGAGUCUGGGCGGAGCCUUGUGAAAUGACGCACUGGCUCCUCCUUCUCCUUUCACCUGACACUGACUGGCCCCAACAACACUGAACAACCAUUACAGACAAUGGGCCCCUGCAAUUUAAUAAUGAAAGUUGUACUUCCCCUUCAGGAAAACUUGGGGAGGGAAGUAGAGACAGUCACACGAGUACCAGGAAAUACACUCCCCCGUGCAAAGGAAGUACAGACAGUCACAUGACUACCAGGAAUUACACUACCCCGUGCA